rnacentral:misc_RNA from 1 species
GUAGCUAUCCAUGGACUUGAAGAAACCCCAAUUAAAUUCAAGAAAGAAGCCUAGUUAAGCUCUAAAACCUUUGGAGAAGGAUAAAGAAAGCGAAAAUCCUACACACAAUGUCAAAUAUCGAUCAAAACCCACAUAGCUAAAUUUCUAAAUACCAAAGCCACGAAACGGCAUGCAAAAAUUGCAAACCAUGAGAAGAAAAGCAGAGUAUGAGAGAAGAAGAGAGAGGGUUUCGUUAUCUUUGUUACUAGUUAGCGGGUUUGGUUGAUUGGGUGAAAGGAAGAAUUAUUAUAAGGGGGGAGGAGGGAAGAGG